CCUCUGUUGACAAGAACUAUGGCAAGAAACUGUCAACCAACCUUGAAGCUACUCAUUGUGUUUUACCACUUUUUCUCUUUAUCUCUAACACUUUAGUUUUUUCUCACUGCUUUACACAUUAGCAAUGUAUUUAUUGAACUGUAUUAGUUCAUUAUUAAACAAUUUUUUUUACCUGAACGUCAAACAUAAUGGAAAAUUUAGACAUAUUUGGCGUAUUUAAUACAGUUUGUGUACAUAUUUAAAGCAGCAGGUGCUAUUACAAAAUCUUAAUGUUAUUAAAUCUAUGCUGUUUCUAAUUAGAAAAACUGGAAAAUGACUAGCUUUGGGUGUAAAUGUAAGUGCCUUGGUUAUGUAUAUGCGUUUUAUUUGAUUGCAUUGGUUAUGUAUAUUCAUAUUUGUUGACCCCUAUAUGCAAAAACACAAAAAAAGGUGAAAUUGACAAUGAAAUUGCAAAUCAAAAUCAACUCAAAUUUAAUUCUUACCUCGGAUAUUCUGCUCUAAAUGCUGUCUAAAUCCCAUAAAUCCCGGCUGCUGAAGUCUCCUCGCGUAAAUAAGUCACCUUGAUCGCAGGUUACCUUGUUUGAAUGCAGUGCCUCAUCGUUAAAACAAGCCAGAUGACAUUUCGCUUUGCCACGAACAAAAAAAGAACGUCUUGUUUUCCUUCUUCCUCACACUCCCGUUCACAAAUCCUGCAGCCGGCCAAAACCUUCACCUCCGAUUAAACUCCUGCAGCUCUUGAUCGACCAGCUCAUAACCCGUUCGACCAAACCGUCAAUUUACACCCGUUUCCUCCCCCAGCCACACACGAAUGCAUCCAAGCCUGUAGCAGUCAAUCUCUCCAAGCCCUGUCCCAUUCAUACAGCCGACCGGCCCUCACAAUAGUGACUUCUGAUCAAACACACGGCCUGACCGGACGGAUCCUCCAAACCACUCCAAGCAGCAGCAUCUCACUCCCUUAUCUUCCCUACUAGUUGUUCACGACACUUAGAUCCAUCCAUUUGACGCCUCCAUUUCUAGCAUUUGCUUUGGAUUCAUUCAAAUUUUUUGUAAGAGAGAUUCAAUUUUAGAAUCUUGACAAUAGCUUCUAAAAUAUUUAUCAAUUAAACUAGCUAGCACCUGCGAAUCUCACUAAUCUGUUCUAAUGAUUGUUACAAACUUUUUAAGGUCAGCGAGAUCUUUAUCAACAAGUCCAAUGUCUACUAUAGGCUCAUGUGCUGCAAAUAUUCAACAUCCAUGCAGAACAUCAAGUGAAAUGCCUCUUCUCACUGAAGACGGGGACUCAUCAUUAGUACCCUUGCUUGGCAGUCUGUCUUCUUCACAUGCUGCAAGACCUUUGGGCAUUAAAAACACGCGUUGUGUAGUCUCUUCAGCUGCUUCUUUUGUUGGAUUAUAUGUUCUACAACUUCCGGUGAAUGGUGUAUUUGAUGCAAACCUGAUUCCAGUUGGUAGAAAGCUUUUGCAGCACGAGGCAUUGGAAUCAUUUCAUGGCGAACAUGUUGGAAGCGGUGGAAUAGGAAGUUUUUUAGGCUGGGCAAUGGCAGGCAUUUAAAUGGGUGGCAGACUUCCUCAAAUCUGGUUGAAUGUGAGAUUAUGACACCUGAUAAACUGUUUUUUGUCUCGUAGUUUUCUUUUAUCCUUUGGGGUUGUAGAAUCGGUUAAGUGGAACUGAUUGAAGAUAAAUUUAUACGGGGAAUCUGGUUAUUUAAGGAUUUUGUGAAGCCUUCAAAUUAAACGAGGAAAUGUCGAGGCAAGUGUUUCUUCCUCCCUCGUCUUUUUCUCAGUGACCAUCUAGCAGCAACUGAUUACGCUCUUUGUAAUUUUGAGAUCAGAAGAUACAUUCAGUUGCCACAAGCAACUCCUUUCAGUUCUUGCAUAAUUCCGCAUUUCUUGGUCUUGUGUUGCACAGUCUCAUUUGGAUUUAUUGUUUAUUGAAAUAUCUUGACUUUACUGCAGUAUAACAACAAGAUUAAGGCUUCGUUUGGGACGGCAUUCUUUCUGCUUCUUAAAAGUAGCAUCCUGAUACAAAAAUUUUAAUUUUUCUACUAGGAAGCUGUUUUAAGAAGCAAUAAGAAAGCAGUCUCAAACAAAGCCUAAGUGAGAUUUUUUUUAAAUAAAUAUGACUUGUUUAUUCUUUAGGCUGUUUUGAUCAAUUAUUUUGUUUUCAGGGGUUAAGUCUCUUUAUGUUUAUAUUCGCUCUUGUGGGAAAUUCAACAUAUGUUGGGAGUAUUACUUGUAAACAGCUUAGAAUGGUCCAAAAUCAAACCCAACCUUCCGUGGCUAGUUGAUGCUGGCGGAUGCGUGCUCCUUGAUGCUUUUAUUCUUAUUCAGUUUAUCUAUUUUAAUUAUCGGAACGCAGCCCAGAAAGCUGCUGACAUUGAAAGUGGUUGCCGGUCAAUGAUUGGAGCUCAGCAUUUGGAGCAGAGUUCUUGAGGAUUGAAGCCAAAAACUGGCAUGCAACAACAUGAUCAUUUAGAUUCUUAUUCUGAAGAAAUGUUGCCGAGAGUAGAAAGACGAUUUGAAGUAGUCUCUCUUUUUUAUUCUUAUAUAUGUUUGGUUCUUCAUUAUUAAUUAUUCGGUUUCAUUUGGGAAAAUUUUCUUAUUAUUUUAUGAAGCUGUUUUUAAUAUAAAUUUUUUUUUAAUUUUAAUUAUUUCUAUCAAUGUAUUAGAUGGUUUAAUAAAUAAUUGAGAAUUCAAAUUGAUAAUCUUGUAAACAAUUAAACUUUUUUAUGUGUAUUAUUAUAAAUAAAAAUAUUUUGUUAUUGUUGUGAUAGAAAACUUAAGGAGAGUGUUUUAUGUUUCACCAUUGUUUAAAAAUUCAGCACUUUUAGUAGUGAGAAUAGAAAAUUUGUACAUAAAAAAUUCAGAAAGGGAAAAUCACGGAGCCUGGCCUGUAUGGAAAAUUCAUUAUAUAUUUGAAAAUACAAAAAUUUUCCCUUCCUCAUAGUUGAAGAAGAUGAUAAUUAUUUGACAAUAAGAUGUCUGUUUUAUCUAAGUUUUAAGAAUUUUUUAAGAAUCUUCAUUCAAAAUUUUAAACUUAUAACCAACGUUUUGAAAACCGGACCGGACCGGCUGGUUAAACCGGUUGAAUCGGUACCCGACCGGCCGGCCGGUUCGGUUGUCUAAUGAAAUCGGGUAAUCAAAGAACCGGAGUUGAACCGGUUCGACCGACGGUUGGACCGCAAAACCGGCGAACCGGAAACCGGGAGAGAACCUGCUACUUAAGGUUACACGCGAUUUUCACCGUCUGAUUUAAAUAAUGCGGUAUUUUAAGUAUAGUAAAACAUGUAAAAGUAAAAGGUUAACCUAGCCCUUUCAUUUUCUAUCUCCCCGUAACUCUCGAAGUCGCCGUCUCCGAUUUUCUUCCUUGUGCCCCCAUUCGUCGCUGCAGCUACUCCAUCUGUGCUUGGAUCAUUGACGAACUGAACGGCCUCCUCCAGUUCUUAAUCGUCACUGGCUCGCUGCACCUCCUCCUUCAUCGGUGCUUGAAUCAUUGCAAGGUGAGGAGAUUGUAUGCGUUGAAUUGAACCUGUGUUUUAUUCUUACCUGUGCAAACUGAAAACCAAAAAUUUCUUUGAUAAAUCCUCUACUGGAUUGACAGCAAACUCCUGAAUAUAUGAG